AUCUCAGUCCGGAAUGGAGUCUACAACUCGACUCCAUGAAGUCGGAAUCGCUAGUAAUCGCAGAUCAGCAUUGCUGCGGUGAAUACGUUCCCGGGCCUUGUACACACCGCCCGUCACACCAUGGGAGUUUGUUGCACCAGAAGCAGGUAGCUUAAACCUUUCGGGAGGGCGCUUGGCCCACGGGUUGCCCGAUUAUAUCCUUU
rnacentral:rRNA from 1 species